rnacentral:rRNA from 1 species
UACGUAGGUGGCGAGCGUUGUUCGGAUUUAUUGGGCGUAAAGGGUCCGCAGGGGGUUUGUCAAGUCUGAUGUGAAAUCCCAAGGCUCAACCUUGGAACUGCAUUGGAAACUAGCGAACUAGAGUAUCGGAGAGGUAAAUGGAAUUCCUGGUGUAGCGGUGGAAUGCGUAGAUAUCAGGAAGAACACCGAGAGCGAAGGCAAUUUACUGGACGAUCACUGACCCUCAGGGACGAAAGCGUGGGGAGCGAACAGG